GAGGAAUUUAAUAAGCUCUUGCAGACUUUCAAAUCAUGGAUAAUAACAUGUAACACCCUCUGCUACUUGAGAUGUUUGUACAAUGUUCUUAUGCACUACUUAUUCUUCAGCAGGGCCUGGAAGACCUGUGCCGUGAGAUGAGUGAUAGGGAGAAGAGAAUGGAGAGCGAGAUGGAGGCAGUCAGGAGGGCCAGCAGAGACCGGGAGAGGGACCUCAACACUCUCAAUACUGUACUUCAAAGUAACCAGCACAUCAUUAAUGAAAUGAGAGUAGAGCUGGUUGAGAAGGAGCGAGUGCAGAAGGAGGUGCAGGCAGAGAGGGAUGUGUGGAGGCAGAGAGACAAGGCCCUCACAGCGGUGCUCCAGGAGAAAGAAGCUCUUCUCCUCUGCCUCAAUGAGGCAUUAGAGAGCUGUCAAAAAGAUAUGCAGGCGCUUUGGGACUCUGUGAUUAGCCAAGGUGUUUCAGGAGGUGGAGCUGAGGGGGCUCUGGCCACUCAGCUGAAGGAGAAGGAGAAUCUGCUGACAGUAUUGCUGAAAGACAGAGAGAAAAACAGCAACGCCAUGUGCCAAGAGGUCUUCAAACUCAACUCUGCCCUGCAAGACUAUCAGGUCCUGAUGCAGGAGCAGCGGCAGAAACACGGUCAGACUGUGUCUUCACUGUCUCAGCAACUCAAAGACACUCAGAACCAGCUGAGGGAGAGAGGCAAGGAGAGCAGGGAGGCAGAGUGGGCCUGGCUCUGUGAAAAACAGGACCGAGAGAGGGAGGAGAGGAAACUGAGAGAGAGUCUGGAGAAGAGGGACAAACUUAUACAGCAAGUUCUCCUGCAGUCUGAGGAACGGGAUAAUCUAAUGAAAGAACUCCAACAGAACCUGCUGAAUAAAUGUGAGCCCCUGACUGCCGUCAAACACACGUUAUGAAAGGAGGGAGGUGGGUUAGGAACAUGAAUGUACAAUGGACAUUCAUAUGGGGGCUGUAUGAAGCUGCACUUUCUAGAACCACAGGCAGUUGACUAGUAAUUACAAGUCAAUACAAGCCUUUAGGAAAGGUUGUUUUCUGCAUUUGCACUAGUUGCAACAUAAUUCCGACAGACAAGCCUUGGAUUUUGUGUUAAAACUGUUUGUCCUUUAUUUGUAAGUAAUGGACAUCCACAUCAGUGUGUCAAUUUUACAUGCUCACUCUUAUUUGUAUAAUAUUUAAUGUUUUAAUGUUAAAUUACUGAUUGAAUUUAUUCAUUAUGCUAGUGGUUCAUGUCUGAUGAGGACCAAAGUAUUUGAAUUCUCAAUUAAAUUGAUCAUAUAGACAUGUCAGUCAAAUGAUGUGUAAGGGGGAAUAUGAUUCUUUUUUUUUGUGGCCUUCAGGACAAGGUGUACCCUUCCUUAUAACGGCUAAAAUCAUAAAGGAUUAUUUACAAAGUUUUCUUCAUUGGUUUUGUGUUAUGUUUUUUCAUUUCUUGUGUAAUUGUGUCUUUUUGGGCUGUAUCUACAAAUACUGACUUUUUUGUUUGUGUGCUAUAUGAUACACUGCUUGGCGUGGUGAUUGUCCUAAAGCGGUUUACAAAGUAUUUAUUUAGACAUCUUCUUUUAUGUGUGUUUGGAGAAAGUGGGGUUACUGCAGAAAAGUUUGAUCAGUUUAUUUUUGGAAAAUAUUUCAAAUUUUAUCUUGUUUUUAUGUGUAUUAAUUUGCCAUUCUUGGAUUUUUGCUGCCAAAUUAUUUCUUUUUUUCUUUGCGCAAUAAACCUCUAUGCAUCUAAUAAUUCAUUGCAUGUUGCUGCCUAUUCCAUGGAAUGCCAUGACCCGCGGGGGUCUCUUUUCUGUAUUUAAGUCGUGGAAUAUUAUCUCCAGUGAUUCAGUUGCAGUAAACCCCAC
ensembl:lncRNA